rnacentral:rRNA from 1 species
GNAGAANCUAACAGGGAUUCCCCUAGUAACUGCGAGUGAAGCGGGAAGAGCUCAAAUUUGAAAUCUGGCGGCCCCGCCGUCCGAGUUGUAUUCUGGAGAAGCGUCUUCCGCGCCGGACCGUGUACAAGUCCCUUGGAACAGGGCGUCGUAGAGGGUGAGAAUCCCGUCUCUGACACGGACCCCCGGUGCUAUGUGAUGCGCUCUCGACGAGUCGAGUUGUUUGGGAAUGCAGCUCAAAAUGGGUGGUAAAUUCCAUCUAAAGCUAAAUAUUGGCGAGAGACCGAUAGCGAACAAGUACCGUGAGGGAAAGAUGAAAAGCACUUUGGAAAGAGAGUAAAACAGUACGUGAAAUUGUUGAAAGGGAAACGCUUGAAGUCAGUCGCGUCUGCUGGAACUCAGCCUUGCUUCUGCUUGGUGCACUUUCCGGUACGACGGGCCAGCAUCGGUUUUGGGCGGCGGACACUGGNGUGGGGAAGGUGGCAGCUCCGGCUGUGUUAUAGCCCCUCNUCGCAAACGUCGUCUGGGACCGAGGAAUCCGGCGAAAGCCUGGGAUGCUGGCGUAAUGGCUUUAAGCGACCCGUCUUGAAACACGGACCAAGGAGUGCUACGUGCUCGCGAGUGUUUGGGUGGAAAACCCGAGCGCGAAAUGAAAGUGAAAGUCGAUACCCCUAGCGGGGGCACCGACGCCCGAGCCUGAUGUUUUCGGAAGGCCUUGCGGUAGAGCGAGUGCGUUGCGACCCGAAAGAUGGUGAACUAUUCCUGAGGAGGGCGAAGCCAGAGGAAACUCUGGUGGAGGCUCGUAGCGGUUCUGACGUGCAAAUCGAUCGCAGGACUUGGGUAUAGGGGCGAAAGACUAAUCCGACCCNUUA